rnacentral:lncRNA from 1 species
AAAUCGUUGAAGUUUUGUCAUGACAAUCCUUUGGUGAAGAUAUCCGCAGUUUGCUCAGUUGUAGGGACAUAUGUCAUACAGAUAAUCCCAUCUUCUAGUUUUUCUUUGAUAAAAUGUCUGUCCACUUCUAUAUGCUUGGUUUUGUCAUGCUGUACUGAAUUAAGAGAAAUAUUGAUGGUUGCUUUGCUGUCACAAUCAAGUUUGAUUGGGAGUUCGACAUUUACUUUCAAUUCUUCUAAGAGUUUCUAUAUCCACAAUCAUUCACAAAUUCCUUGAGCCACAGCUCUGAAUUCAGUUUCGGCACUACUUUUAGCCACUACAUUCUGUUUCUUGCUUCUCCAAGUCACUAAGUUUCCCCAUACAAAUGUACAGUAGCCAGAAGUAGACCUUCUAUCUUUGAUUGAUCCAGCCUAGUCUGCAUCAAUGAAUACUUCUAUUCCCGUCCUUCUAUUUUUUCGAAAAAUAAUUCUUUUCCAAAAGUGUCUUUUAGAUAUCUGAGAAUUUUGUAUACUACUUCCAGAUGAACUUCUUUGGGAGAGUGCAUGUGUUGACUAACCACACUGACUGCGAAGGCAAUAUCAGGUCUAGUGUAUGAGAGAUAGAUUAACUUACCAACCAAUUUUUGAUAUCUAUCCAUUUCCAAUGGGCUCCAUGUGUCCUUUAUCUUUCCAGAUUCAAUGGGUGUCACUUGGUUUGGAUCCUAACAUGCUAGUUUCUCUCAACAGGUCAAGUAUGUAUUUUCGUUGAGAUACACUGAUAUCCUUCUUUGAUCUUGCAAUCUCCAUUCCCAAAAAAUACCUCAUUUGUCCUAGAUCUUUUAUUUCAAAUUAUGUGGCUAAACACUUCUUUAAUCUUUCUAUCUCAGCAAUGUUGUCUCCAAGUAGGAUUAUAUCAUCAACAUAUACAAUCAAUAUUGUCUUUGUACCAUCUUUAGAUUGAUGAAAAAACAUGGUGUGAUUGGGCUGCCUCUGCUAAUAUCCCUGAAUUUUUAGCACUUUUGCAAAUCUAUUGAACCAUGCUCUUGGUGAUUGUUUGAGACCAUACAGACACUUCCUGAGUUUACACACUUGAUUUUCCUUACCACUUCUGUUAAAUCUGGGUGGUAUUGUCAUGUAGAUCUCUUCUUCUAAUUCUCCAUUUAAGAAUGCAUUCUUGACGUCAAGUUGUUGAAGAGGCCAGUCUAGAUUCACUGCUAGGGAUAAAAGAACCAGAAUUGUAUUUAACUUCGCCACCUGUGCGAAUGUUUCUGUGUAGUCAAUGCCAUAAGUUUGUGUAUAUCCUUUGGCGACUAGACGAGCUUUAUAAUGCUCUACUGUCCCAUCUGCCUUGUACUUUACAUUAAAAACCCAUUUGCAACCUACUGGUUUCUUUCCUUUUGGUAGAUUCACUACUUCCCAAGUCUCAUUUUUCUUCAAGGCUUUCAUUUCUUCCAUUACUGCCUCUCACUAUUUGGAUGACUCCAAAGCCUCCUGAAUAUUUCUUGGAACUUCUGUUUUAUCAAAAUUAGUCGUAAAGGCUCGAAAUUCAGUAGAUAGAGCAUUAUAAGAUAUGAACUUUGAAAUAGGAUGGAGAGUACAUGACUGAGGUUGUUUCCUGAGAGCAAUAGGCAAAUCAUUUUCCGGAGAUAUGGGUUCGUCAGAGGAGUUCUUAUCAGGUCCUAUCGUCGGUUCCGACUCUUUUGGUGCUUCAGGUGUGAGAGUUUCUUUAUAGUUUGAUUUAGGCUUCCGUGAGUAAACUAUUAUCUCCUUAUCAUUUUGCUUUUUGACAUCUCCCCCUGAAUUCAAGUUCCUUCUGUAUAUGGCACACUAGAAGGUAGGGUGACAUUUGGGUCAGUUGUGGAGAGGUUAAAUUCUAAGAAUUCUCGAUCCAACCGAUCUUCACUCAAGUUCUCCUGCUGAAGAGAGGAUUUUUGGAAAUAUGGUGUUUUUUCGAAGAAGGUGACAUCAAGGCUAACGCAAACCUGUUUUGUGGAUGGGUCAUGGCAUUUACAGCCCUUUUGAGUGGGUGAGUACCCAAUGAAAACACACUUUAUUACUCAUGGUUCAAGUUUAUUUCGGUGAUGAGAAUGCACAAAGGCAGUGCUUCCAAAUACUUUUAGCGGGAGGUUUGAAUUGAGGCGAGAAUUAGGAAAGUACUGUCGGAAUUUUUGUAAAGGUGAGGCAAAUGAAAGGGUACAACUAGGCAUCCGAUUGAUAAGGUAUGUAGAUGUUAAAA